CACACUAUUGAUCGGGUGAUGAGAGUAUUACUUAUUCGAAAGGGUUCUGUAAUUUCGUACAAGAAUUCACGCCAUGAAGGGACUUUCCAAAAGGUAAUAUUUGUGGAUGACGAGGUAACACUUUUUCUUAACUUAUAUGUUAUCGUUCCUAUCUAUUCCCUUAUUACUUCUCUAAUGACAUCACAUGCCGCUUACAUCAAUACUAGG
rnacentral:lncRNA from 1 species